GUCACAUAGCAGUUUACUGGCAGAGCUGGGAACAGAUCUCAGGUCUCCAGAGUUCCAGCCUAGUACCACACCCACCAGAACAGAGUCUCCAUAAACUUCUAGAUCAACUAUAGUUCCAUAUUAUCUUCUUCCUCCUCCUCUCAGGCUUGUGACUGACAGGAGAGACCCCCAUCUUACUAUUCCAACUGCAAAAAAGGGCUUGUUUUCCUCAAACAUCCAAAGGGAAAAGAACUAGCAACCACAGAAGUUUCUGAAAGGCACUCCCAAUCAUGUGAAAACCUUUGAAGCAUAACCUGCAGCAAUAAGAAAAUAUUCCAAGAUUUAUUUACUCCAUGGUUUCAACAUUUGUAAUACAACAUUUGAGCUGUGUUGCUUAGUUGUGAAUCACCAUGUAAAUCAGACAAGAGGAGAUUCUGAGAGGUGCAGCCCAGGGCUAGAGGAGGUUGUGGUGACUGCAUGUCAGAAUGUGUCAUCAUGCUCCAGCUUUUCAUUGAUACUCCAAACACAAAAAUCAUCUCCAAAGGAAAAACUGCACAACCCAAGAAAGGAAC